UACAGAGGUCUCAAGCGUUGUUCGGAUUCAUUGGGCGUAAAGGGUGCGUAGGUGGCGGGGCAAGUUUGGUGUGAAAUCCCGGGGCUCAACCUCGGAACUGCACUGAAUACUGCCUUGCUAGAGCACUGGAGAAGGAACUGGAAUUUACGGUGUAGCAGUGAAAUGCGUAGAUAUCGUAAGGAAGACCAGUGGCGAAGGCGAGUUCCUGGACAGUUGCUGACACUGAGGCACGAAGGCUAGGGGAGCAAACGGG
rnacentral:rRNA from 1 species